UGCGGGAUCUUUAGUUGUGGCAA
rnacentral:miRNA from 1 species